rnacentral:rRNA from 1 species
GGGGAAAAAAUAAAUUCCUUAUUCUGCAUGUCGAGCGCAGGAAGCGAGCUGAUCCCCUUCGGGGGUGACGCUUGUGGAAUGAGCGGUAGAGGGGUGAGUAACACGUGGGCAACCUGCCUGUAAGACUGGGAUAACCCCGGGAAACCGGGGCUAAUACCGGAUAAUACUUUCUUUUGCAUAAAGGAAAGUUGAAAGGCGGCUUCGGCUGUCACUUACAGAUGGGCCCGCGGCGCAUUAGCUAGUUGGUGAGGUAACGGCUCACCAAGGCGACGAUGCGUAGCCGACCUGAGAGGGUGAUCGGCCACACUGGGACUGAGACACGGCCCAGACUCCUACGGGAGGCAGCAGUAGGGAAUCUUCCGCAAUGGACGAAAGUCUGACGGAGCAACGCCGCGUGAGUGAUGAAGGUUUUCGGAUCGUAAAACUCUGUUGUUAGGGAAGAACAAGUUGGGUAGUAACUGACCCAACCUUGACGGUACCUAACCAGAAAGCCACGGCUAACUACGUGCCAGCAGCCGCGGUAAUACGUAGGUGGCAAGCGUUGUCCGGAAUUAUUGGGCGUAAAGCGCUCGCAGGCGGUCCUUUAAGUCUGAUGUGAAAUCUCGCGGCUCAACCGCGAACGGUCAUUGGAAACUGGAGGACUUGAGUACAGAAGAGGAGAGUGGAAUUCCACGUGUAGCGGUGAAAUGCGUAGAGAUGUGGAGGAACACCAGUGGCGAAGGCGACUCUCUGGUCUGUAACUGACGCUGAGGAGCGAAAGCGUGGGGAGCGAACAGGAUUAGAUACCCUGGUAGUCCACGCCCGUAAACGAUGAGUGCUAGGUGUUAGGGGGUUUCCGCCCCUUAGUGCUGAAGUUAACGCAUUAAGCACUCCGCCUGGGGAGUACGGCCGCAAGGCUGAAACUAAAAGAAUUUGACGGGGG